GCUGCUGGCAGGAGAUUUGAAGUUUGGAGCAGGCUUGCUAAAUGAGCCAAUCAGAGACACCUGGCACUGGGAGGGAACCCCCAGGGUUGUUGGUUCCAUGUGAGAGCUGAAGCAAGCCUGUGGGAAGUCUGCAAGAGAAUCAGCUCUGAGCAGGGUAGUCACAAGCUGAACCUUAGGGUGGGUCACUGUCUAAGAACUGAUAAAAGGACUCUUUGGCUCACCUAGGUUCUGAGAGUCUCCCAGCAAAAAUCACCAGAAUAUGGAUUUUCUGUCCAGGAAAGAUGAAGAUGGUGAGUCAAGCAGUUGGUGCCCCGACAUUCCCGCUCAAAUUUAAAGCAAGGGAGUGAGGGAGCUGCCUACAGGAGACCUGAAGCUUGAGCAGACCUGCUAAACCAGAGACACAUGGCGUGGGUGAAGAACAAGGCUCAUAGAUAACCAAAAAGAAGUGGGUUGGCUUUGGAGAGUUGGGGGAGAGAGAGCAGAGAAAUAGUGGAUGUGGGUCCAAGAUUUCCCUCAUGGAAAAUUUUGAAAUGACAGCUACAAUUUCCUUCAUUUUAGAUGAUUUUAAGGUAAUUCAGGCUCUUGCAUUGUCUCCACACAUCUCACACACUCCUACACUUGCACUAUCUCUAGUACACACAGCUGCUCACGUGCUUUCUUGUGCUUGUGCUCUUGCUCUCUUGUGACCCAUUAAACACAUAUGAUGGGUAGGGAAAGAAAAAGUGAGCAUGGGCGGUUGUGUAUGUGUGAGAUAAAUCAUACAAGCGUAUGCGCGCACAUGUAUGAUAGCUGGAGACAGCUUGAGGGUGUGUGGUGAGUGAAGAGAGUGAGAGAGCACGAAUGUGACUUAGUGCUGUGAAUAUCUGGAUUCUGCUUUAUUCUGUUUCAAUAUCUGUAUUCAAGCCUUUAUUCUGUGCAUGUUUGCUUUAGUAUAGACUUGUCUGGCAUUAAUUUUCUGGAGUGAAUUCUUUGUAAUGUCUCAUUUAAAUCCAUACCAUUUUUGUAUAUUUGAAGCCUACUGCCUCUCUUGCACAACAAUGUACAGUGCAACACCAUCACAUGUUCCUUUUUUUGCUGGUUUUGCCCGGGCGUUGCUGGAAUACUUCUUGUGUAAUGCCAGCCCACAGCCAGUCAGCACAGUACAAACAGAUCGGUGGGCAGCACACUACUUUUACUUUUUGAGGCCAUAUCUUGUUUACAUGUAUUGCGAGAAAAUGUGGCGGUUUUCAGUGACAAAAUUCAGGUGUAGCAUACUAUAGUGGACAAGUACAGUGUGGUUAAUACUGAGGUGGGCAGCUUAACUUUUUGAAUGGUCUGGACCUGAUUCUUAUUUACACUAAGGCGGCCCCUUUAUACGACAUUGGCAGCCAACCAACAUUAGACAAUGAGGGCUUGACUUCAAAUGCAGGUGUGGGUGCUCAAAUUCUCUUGUAGUGUAAAUGAGUGUACAGCAAAAACCGAAAUUCAAAAGCAAUGUAGCCUAACUAUAAUGUUUAAAUAUUUCUUCUGGUUGUUAAACUGGUCUUAAAGCAGUUUUAAACUGUUUUACCUUUGACUCUCAUGCCUUUCAUGUUCUUUUUCAGCAAGAUGUUGGCAGCCAUCCACUGUGCUUGGAAAUGCCAAAUGCAUUUCAAUAACAUUAAAUUUUAGAUAUGUUUCAU